CAAGCCUAGUCACCACCCAGUAUGUCAUUCAAUCAUUAAUUCAUUAAGCCCCAGAACCCAUGCAAAUAGGAUACACCAGGGUGUGUUUGGAAGAGCGCCAUCGGCAUCAAUGCAAGGGGCUGUGCUUCUACUACAGAUAAUCAGGUCACCAAUGGACUACGUGCCCCAAUAAAACCCAGACUUCCAGCCAAAAAGUGAAUAAGAUAAUUUCUCCCUUACCAUUCAGGGAAAGUUUCCACCUAUCCCUAACCAUUGAUUUUAAUGGAAGUUCUAACCAUGUUUCCGGGGCAGCUGCAAACAUAAUCCAUCAUGACCUCAUCACUGAACUCAAUAUGCCUACCUCACCAUGCCCCCCAUCCAUCAACAUUACAGCUGUCAACAAUGGUCCCAUAGGAACAGGCAUCUCACAACAAACCAUACCACUAACAGUCUGAAUUGGCCUUUUCCAUACAGAGAAGAUCCUACUAUGUCAUAUCUUCUCUGAAGAAUCCUAUCAUCCUGGGCUACACCUGAUUAACUACACAUGAUCCAACUAUCUCCUGGGCACAAGGUGAACUUCUCCAGUGGUGAAGGUACUUCAGCAAAGAUGAUUCCAAUCAACAAUCAAUCUGCCAUGUCUCUCCACAAUUCAAUUCAAUUUUAUUUGUAUAGCACUUUUUCCAAUGGUCAUUGUCUCACCAGCAUCAAAGGCCCCAACAUUCAAGCUCUAACCCAGAUUCCAGAGGAAUUUGCGGAGGUGUUCAAUAAAGUCAAAGCAACACAACUCACUGUCCUUGGGAUUGUGUCCAUUACAGCCCCUCCUAAAAGCAAGGUGUACCCUUUAUCACUUCCAGAGAGCCAGGCUAUGGAAAAGUAUAUUGAGGAAGCAUUAGCCUCAGGCUUCAUACGCCCAUCCACAUCCCCUGCAGCAGCAGGAUUCUUCUUUGUGGAAAAAAAUGGCAGCGGCCUCAGACCCUGCAUUGACCAAUGUGGCCCUAACUCAGUCAAUGUCAAGUAUAGAUAUCCACCGUCAUUAAUCCCCUCAGCCCUGGAACAACUGCGGGAGGCCUGAAUUUUUUACCAAGCUAGACCUUAGAAGUGCAUUAAACCUUAUCCAAAUCUAAAAAGGAAAUGAGUGGAAAAUGGCCUCUGAGAUCAUACUGUAGUUGGGAACAGGAGAAAUGGAACGACUUCCUUCCAUGGGCUGAAUAUGCACAGAAUUCCCUCAAGCAUUCCUCUACUGAAUUCUUCUGGGCUAGCAACCACCCAUGUUCCCUUGGUCAGGUGAAUGCUCAACAGUGCCAGCAGUGUACAAUUGGGUCAGGAGAAGUGAGAGGGUGUGGAACAGUGCACACGUUUGGCUCCAAUGUGUCCGGGUUCAACACAUUCACGAUGACCGUAGGAGACGUCCCCACCCCAACUACCAACUGGGUCAGGGAGUCUGGCUGUCUACAUCGGGACCUUCAUCUGCAGCUACCCUGCAGGAAGCUCAGCCCCAGGUAGGUAGGUCCAUUUCAUAUCCUAAGACAAAUAAAUCCUGUGACCUACAAACUAGAGCUUCCUGCUAACUACAGCAUCUCUCCUUCCUUUCAUGUGUCACUGUUAAAACCAGUCCACCCUGCAUCUUGCCCUGAAACCAUGGAAUCUCCACCACUGCUGGAGAUAGAUGGAGCUCCAGCAUACCUGGUCAGGAAAAUCUUGGAUUCCAGAAGGAGGGGAGGCCAGAUGCAAUAUUUGGUGGACUGGGAAGGAUACAGACCAGAGUAGACAUCACAGUCAGACAUGUACAAAUGGUUGGAGAGAUGAAGGGAAAUCUGUCUUGAGCGACCCUGUCACCCAAAUACCAGUGAAUGAAAAAUCCAUACGCAGAGGGACGGUUGAAGCUGUGCCGUGCACUUUCAGCUUCUGAAGAGACACAAUUAUACACACAUCCCCGUUGGGCUGAAGGAGGGGGUAUUUCACACUGGUGGUCUUCAUUGAAAACUCACUGUCAGUGUCUGCAAUGUUCUGCUCUUCACCCAAAAACCACAGAUGACACUAGGGUGGAUACAAGAAAGGAACCAAGUAAGGAGAUGCUUAACUUAUCUGUCAAACAAAAGUGGAAGGAAAAAUGAACGUCACUGUAAAACAUAGUGUAUGGAUAUUUUGUAUGCUUUCUUUGUGGUGGUUGUUCUAACAGAAAAGGCAUUUCUGAAAAAAAAAAUUAUUAAGGAAAAAAGCAACCUCGGAAUCAAUGCAGUUUUGGUUAUUAAAUUAAAUAAAAUCCACUCGCU
ensembl:lncRNA